CAAAAACAUCGCCUCUUGAAAAAAUAACAUAAGAGGCCCCACCUGCCCUGUGACCACGUGUUUAACGGCCGCGGUAUUUUGACCGUGCAAAGGUAGCGCAAUCACUUGUCUUUUAAAUGGAGACCUGUAUGAAUGGCAUGACGAGGGCUUAACUGUCUCCUUUUUCUAGUCAAUGAAAUUGAUCUCCCCGUGCAGAAGCGGGGAUAAAAUCAUAAGACGAGAAGACCCUGUGGAGCUUUAGACACUAAGCCAGAUCUUGUUAAAUACUCCUAUUAAAGAAUCAAACUUAUUGCAACCUGGCCUGAUGUCUUUGGUUGGGGCGACCUCGGGGAAGCAAAAAACCCCCGCGUGGAAUAGAAGAACUCUACUUCCAAAACCAAGAGCCACCGCUCAAAUUAACAGAAUUUCUGACCAAUUACAGAUCCGGCUCAACGCCGAUCAACGGACCGAGUUACCCCAGGGAUAACAGCGCAAUCCUCUUUUAGAGCCCAUAUCGACAAGAGGGUUUACGACCUCGAUGUUGGAUCAGGACAUCCUAAUGGUGCAGCCGCUAUUAAGGGUUCGUUUGUUCAACGAUUAAAGUCCUACGUGAUCUGA
rnacentral:rRNA from 1 species